rnacentral:rRNA from 1 species
CAGGCCUAACACAUGCAAGUCGAGCGGCAGCACAAGUAAGUUUACUAUGAGGUGGCGAGCGGCGGACGGGUGAGUAAUGCCUAGGGAUCUGCCCAGUCGAGGGGGAUAACAGUUGGAAACGACUGCUAAUACCGCAUACGCCCUACGGGGGAAAGAGGGGGACCUUCGGGCCUCUCGCGAUUGGAUGAACCUAGGUGGGAUUAGCUAGUUGGUGAGGUAAUGGCUCACCANGGCGACGAUCCCUAGCUGUUCUGAGAGGAUGAUCAGCCACACUGGGACUGAGACACGGCCCAGACUCCUACGGGAGGCAGCAGUGGGGAAUAUUGCACAAUGGGGGAAACCCUGAUGCAGCCAUGCCGCGUGUGUGAAGAAGGCCUUCGGGUUGUAAAGCACUUUCAGUAGGGAGGAAAGGGUGAGUCUUAAUACGGCUCAUCUGUGACGUUACCUACAGAAGAAGGACCGGCUAACUCCGUGCCAGCAGCCGCGGUAAUACGGAGGGUCCGAGCGUUAAUCGGAAUUACUGGGCGUAAAGCGUGCGCAGGCGGUUUGUUAAGCGAGAUGUGAAAGCCCUGGGCUCAACCUAGGAAUAGCAUUUCGAACUGGCGAACUAGAGUCUUGUAGAGGGGGGUAGAAUUCCAGGUGUAGCGGUGAAAUGCGUAGAGAUCUGGAGGAAUACCGGUGGCGAAGGCGGCCCCCUGGACAAAGACUAC